CUUAAAAAUAUGUUUUCCAGCUACCAGGAGAAGCAGGCUCCUGAAACUGCAAUUCAGGGAGGUAAUGUGCAGUCAACCUCAACACCCAGUAAGCGAACAGCAGCUAAAAUGUUGCAUCGAUUAUCUCCAACUGAACCUGUGUCUGAGGGGGAAGAUUUUCUAAUGGCUGGUGUUGAGGCCUUAGCUGAUGACCUAGAUUUGGAUCCUUUUGAAGAAAGAAAGAAUUAAUGACAGAUGUAUUAGGCUCCACAUUUAUCUCUUUAGAAUCAGUACCAUUUCAGGUAAGUUCCAGUAUUUAUCUUUACGUACAACAAAUAUUAUUGUGUUGUCUGUCGUUUCAAAUCCAUGGAUCUAGCUACGGAUGCAGUCCAAAUUGAUGAGGACCAAGCAAACAACUUACUCAACAGUGUGUGAGUUGCAAUGUCUUCUUAUCUAGGGGUGGGCAAUAUAAACGAUAUAAGGUAGAAAUGAUAUAAAAUUGGGUAAUGAUAGUUUUUGGCUAUAUCGCAAUACGGCGAUAUUGUGAUAACACAUGACGUCACUAAGAUGUGCACCCUGCUGACAAUGGGACAACAGAAUGGCGGUGACUGCAAGCAUGGAGUGGGCGGAGGAGGAGGCCUAUAUGCCUCAAGUGGCAUAUAUUUGCCACAUGAGGAUAUCUAAAAGCAUGUCAAUUUGACAUCUAUAAACAGAUAAAAAAAUAUAUCGCAAUAUAUAUCGUUACUGCACAUGCUUCAGAUUAUAUCGCAAUAUAGAUUUGAGGCCAUAUUGCCCAGCCCUAUUCUUAUCUACACUCUUUUUUUUAAACUCCAAAGUCUUAAAACAAUAUAUUAAUUCUACUUUUAUUUAUUGUUUUCAUAACAGAAUAGAACUGUUAUGAAAACUUUGUCAGGCUGAUGAAGUUUGCAGCCGCAAACAAAACGUUGCAGGUAAAUAAAACCCUUCUAUGUUUUAAAAAGAACUAAAAGAUGGAAUUGUUGUUUUAUCCUUGUUCACAAGCUGGGAUCCUAAAGGGAAUUUCCAUCCUACUUGUGUGGCUGAAUGACAUCUUCAACCAAUUUUGGACAUGUGGGUGGGUGUUCUUCACCAUGUCACAGGGAAGCAUGAAUGGACCCGUGGCAAAUGUGACCAUGGACCACUUGAUGCAACGACCAGUGAUAAAGAGCUCGUGGUACCAUGAUCUCCACCACACGAGGCUCUUCAACGAAUCAUGUUCAACAGACGCUGGUUGAAGGAUGUCACCAAGUAUCUGACCU